CCAGGUGAUCUACCCAUGUCCAGGGUGAAGUUCAGGUAACACUGAAUGGAGGCCCGAACCCACGCACGUUGAAAAGUGCGGGGAUGAGGUGUGGGUAGCGGAGAAAUUCCAAUCGAACCUGGAGAUAGCUGGUUCUCCCCGAAAUAGCUUUAGGGCUAGCCUUAAGUGUAAGAGUCUUGGAGGUAGAGCACUGAUUGAACUAGGGGUCCUCAUCGGAUUACCGAAUUCAGUCAAACUCCGAAUGCCAAUGACUUAUCCUUAGGAGUCAGACUGCGAGUGAUAAGAUCCGUAGUCAAGAGGGAAACAGCCCAGAUCGCCAGCUAAGGUCCCAAAGUGUGUAUUAAGUGGAAAAGGAUGUGGAGUUGCUUAGACAACUAGGAUGUUGGCUCAGAAGCAGCCACCAUUUAAAGAGUGCGUAAUAGCUCACUAGUCGAGUGACUCUGCGCCGAAAAUGUACCGGGGCUAAAUACACCACCGAAGCUGCGAAUUGAUACCAAUGGUAUCAGUGGUAG
rnacentral:rRNA from 1 species